GACGAACCGUGCGAACGUUGUUCGGAAUCACUGGGCUUAAAGGGCGCGUAGGCGGGCUGCCGCGUCCGGGGUGAAAUCCUCCCGCUCAACGGGAGAACGGCCUCGGAUACGGGCGGCCUCGAGGGGGGUAGGGGCAUCUGGAACUGUGGGUGGAGCGGUGAAAUGCGUUGAUAUCCACAGGAACUCCGGUGGCGAAGGCGAGGUGCUGGACCCCAUCUGACGCUGAGGCGCGAAAGCCAGGGGAGCGAACGGG
rnacentral:rRNA from 1 species